rnacentral:rRNA from 1 species
AGAGUUUGAUCCUGGCUCAGGAUGAACGCUGGCGGCGUGCCUAACACAUGCAAGUCGAGCGAGAACCGAAAAGACAGAAGCUUCGGCCGAAGGAUUUUUGGGGAAAGCGGCGGACGGGUGAGUAACGCGUAGGUAACCUGCCCUAUACACGGGGAUAGCCACUGGAAACGGUGAUUAAUACCCGAUAGUCUCUUGUAACGCAUGUUAUGAGAGGGAAAGAUUUAUCGGUAUGGGAUGGACCUGCGUCUGAUUAGCUAGUUGGGGGGGUAAUGGCCUACCAAGGCAACGAUCAGUAGCCGACCUUAGAGGGUGAUCGGCCACACUGGGACUGAGAACGGCCCACACUCCUACGGGAGGCAGUAGUGGGGAAUAUUGCGCAAUGGGCGAAAGCCUGAUGCAGCAACGCCGCGUGAGCGAUGAAGGCCUUUGGGUCGUAAAGCUCUGUCCUUGGGGAAGAAAAAAAAUGACGGUGCCCUUGGAGGAAGCCCCGGCUAACUACGUGCCAGCAGCCGCGGUAAUACGUAGGGGGCAAGCGUUAUCCGGAAUUAUUGGGCGUAAAGCGCGUGUAGGUGGUUCUGUAAGUAGGGCGUGAAAGCUCCCGGCUCAACUGGGAGAGGCCGUACUAAACUGCAGAGCUAGAGGAUGGUAGAGGGAGGUGGAAUUCCAGGUGUAGUGGUGAAAUGCGCAGAUAUCUGGAGGAACACCAGUGGCGAAGGCGGCCUCCUGGACCAUUCCUGACACUCAGACGCGAAAGCUAGGGUAGCAAACGGAAGUAGAGACUCCGGUAGUCCUAGCCCUAAACGAUGCNAUGGUAGGGGUCGGCGGUUUAAUCACCGUCGGUGUCCAAGCUAACGGAAUAAGUCUCCGCCUGGAGGAUACCGCCCGCAAGGCUAAAAUUCAAAGGAAUGGACGGUCCCCGGCACAGCAAGCGGAGCGUGUGGUUUAAUUGGAUGUUCCGCGAGGACCUUUACCUGGGUUUGACAUAACAGUGGUAGAGAAGUGAAAACGGAUCGACCCCUUCGGGGAGCUGUUACAGGUGUUGCAUGCCUGUCGUCAGCUCGUGUCGUGAGAUGUUCGGUUAAGUCCGCUAACGAGCGCAACCCGCGCUGUGUGUUACAAGUGUCACACAGUACCGCCGGUAUUAAGUCGGAGGAAGGUGCGGAUGACGUCAAGUCAGCAUGACCUUUAUAUCCAGGGCUACACACACGCUACAAUGGUCAGAACAAUAGGUUGCCAAGCCGCAAGGCGGAGCCAAUCCUCCAAAUCUGGCCUCAGUUCAGAUUGCAGGCUGCAACUCGCCUGCAUGAAGUCGGAGUUGCUAGUAACCGCAGGUCAGCAUACUGCGGUGAAUACGUUCCCGGGGAUUGUACUCACCGCCCGUCAAG